rnacentral:rRNA from 1 species
CCUACGGGUGGCUGCAGUGGGGAAUAUUGGACAAUGGGGGAAACCCUGAUCCAGCAAUGCCGCGUGUGUGAAGAAGGCCUGCGGGUUGUAAAGCACUUUCGGUUGGGAAGAAAAGUUUGGCGCCAAUACCGCCGAACCUUGACGUUACUGACAGAAGAAGCACCGGCUAACUCUGUGCCAGCAGCCGCGGUAAUACAGAGGGUGCAAGCGGGAAGUGAAGCGACUGGGCGUAAAGCUGGCGUAGGGGUGUGAAAUCCCCGGGCUUAACCUGGGAACUGCAUUCGAUACUACAUGGCUAGAGUAUGGUAGAGGGAAGUGGAAUUUCCGGUGUAGCGGUGAAAUGCGUAGAUAUCGGAAGGAACACCAAUGGCGAAGGCAGCUUCCUGGACUAAUACUGACACUGAGGCACGAAAGCGUGGGUAGCAAACAGGAUUAGAUACCCUUGUAGUC